rnacentral:rRNA from 1 species
AUUGAACGCUGGCGGCAUGCCUUACACAUGCAAGUCGAACGGUAACAGGCCGCAAGGUGCUGACGAGUGGCGAACGGGUGAGUAAUGCAUCGGAACGUGCCCAGUCGUGGGGGAUAACUGCUCGAAAGAGCAGCUAAUACCGCAUACGACCUGAGGGUGAAAGCGGGGGACCGUAAGGCCUCGCGCGAUUGGAGCGGCCGAUGUCAGAUUAGCUAGUUGGUGGGGUAAAGGCCUACCAAGGCAACGAUCUGUAGUUGGUCUGAGAGGACGACCAGCCAGACUGGGACUGAGACACGGCCCAGACUCCUACGGGAGGCAGCAGUGGGGAAUUUUGGACAAUGGGCGCAAGCCUGAUCCAGCAAUGCCGCGUGCAAGAAGAAGGCCUUCGGGUUGUAAACUGCUUUUGUCAGGGAAGAAAUCUUCUGGGCUAAUACCCCGGGAGGAUGACGGUACCUGAAGAAUAAGCACCGGCUAACUACGUGCCAGCAGCCGCCCGUAAUAC